rnacentral:sRNA from 1 species
CACGGCUAAUCCACUGCGGAUCUGUGCUCCACCAUUGAUUACCGGGGAUCUGUAAAACGCCAAUCGCUGUCCUUGUAUCAUGAAUCGAUCGCGUCACAAAUAGCUAGUCUCUGGAAAUGGGUUAAUUCAUUUUUUCGAUCAGUGCAAGUAUGGCUCCAGUGUUCUCUGCACUUUACAAGGUUAUUUCGGGAUAAUUGAACGUAAAAAUCGACAAAAUAUUCAUGCACUGCAAAAAAGUCGAACAGUGAUAUUUUAUCUACACCCGGUUUGGCUGUCCUAAGGACAAUAUCGAUGACGUCACGAAACAGUGAAUUGCCAUUACAGGCUGCAGUGUUUUGCAUAUUACAAAAACAUAAUCUAUCAUUACCGACUUGUACAUCGGUGGUCAGAUCCGUGGGUGGUUUUGCUUCUAGGGGCGUUCAUAUUACAACAUCCUUUCCCGGUGCAAACUCGGUGAGCUAUGAAUAUCUAUACGUAUAUAUCAAUAGUUGUUGGGUUCUCAUUCAGCUGCAUCCAACUAAUGAAUUAUUUUAACAUUAACUCGGCACCUUCAGGAUGCUGCAGGGAACGUAACUACUCAAAUCAGAAUACGCCUUUUGAUGUUAGCUUUUACGUGGAGGGUGAAUUCGGUUAAUUGCAAAUGGAUGGAAUUCAUUCAACAAUCUUUUUGCUGAUACAUUAUUACUCUAUCCACAUGUCGUAUUCCAAAUGAAAGCCGAGGAAGCAUGACCUUACAGUAAGGCAUUAACCGGGUUGCCAAUUUGAAACAUCUCCAAAGCAUGGUAAUGGCACUAUAUGGACAGAGGCAAAAUUAGUGUCUCUGGGCCCAAAAUUCGGUCCCCGUGUGUCCACUUGUGAACCCUGACCUCCAAAUGUUCGACUGUGUUCAGACAGACCAGCCCCUCCGUCUGGUCAGUGGCUCAUUAAUAAAGCCCGACCUUCGGCUGACCCGCACAACAGCUCAAACCAAUUGUCAAUGGCUAGUUCAAUAACCGGCCAUUGCUGCAACUACAGCCUUGACUGCCGUCCAUGCCAUCGUCAGUGCUGGUACUUCAUCGGUCCCCCAGGGGCUGGCCAACUCAGGAGAUUAUACAGAUACAUAUACUACAUAUAUCUAUACACAGAGUACUGAUUUUAUUACUCAUGAUUAGGAUUACAAAAAAUAAACUUUUCUUUGUCUGAU